rnacentral:rRNA from 2 species
GCAGCAGUAGGGAUCUUCCGCAAUGGACGAAAGUCUGACGGAGCAACGCCGCGUGAGUGAUGAAGGUUUUCGGAUCGUAAAACUCUGUUGUUAGGGAAGAACAAGUACCGUUCGAAUAGGGCGGUACCUUGACGGUACCUAACCAGAAAGCCACGGCUAACUACGUGCCAGCAGCCGCGGUAAUACGUAGGUGGCAAGCGUUGUCCGGAAUUAUUGGGCGUAAAGCGCGCGCAGGCGGUUUCUUAAGUCUGAUGUGAAAGCCCCCGGCUCAACCGGGGAGGGUCAUUGGAAACUGGGGAACUUGAGUGCAGAAGAGGAGAGUGGAAUUCCACGUGUAGCGGUGAAAUGCGUAGAGAUGUGGAGGAACACCAGUGGCGAAGGCGACUCUCUGGUCUGUAACUGACGCUGAGGCGCGAAAGCGUGGGGAGCGAACAGGAUUAGAUACCCUGGUAGUCCACGCCGUAAACGAUGAGUGCUAAGUGUUAGAGGGUUUCCGCCCUUUAGUGCUGCAGCAAACGCAUUAAGCACUCCGCCUGGGGAGUACGGUCGCAAGACUGAAACUCAAAGGAAUUGACGGGGCCC